rnacentral:rRNA from 1 species
UACGAAGGGGGCUAGCGUUGCUCGGAAUUACUGGGCGUAAAGCGCACGUAGGCGGUCUUUUAAGUCAGGGGUGAAAUCCUGGAGCUCAACUCCAGAACUGCCUUUGAUACUGAGGAUCUUGAGUUCGGGAGAGGUGAGUGGAACUGCGAGUGUAGAGGUGAAAUUCGUAGAUAUUCGCAAGAACACCAGUGGCGAAGGCGGCUCACUGGCCCGAUACUGACGCUGAGGCACGAAAGCGUGGGGAGCAAACAGGG